rnacentral:tRNA from 1 species
AUUUGGGUAGUUUAAUAAAACAUUACAUUUUCACUGUAAAAUUGGUAAAUUUUUCUUACUUUCAAAUU